GAUCAGCUUCAGCUGGAAUCUUAAAUACACAAAUCAAGAAGCUGUCACUUCUAAACACAUUUGUAAAUACAAUUUUAAUGUCUCACAACACUUCAGUAUAUAAACUGCUAGAAACUUUAUUUCUUGGACUUUAGUGACCAUCAGCAGAAGUACAGGCUUUGAGGAGCUUGUAAUGGAUCUUCACUGUCCCCUGCUGCUACAUCUGGCCUUCAAAAGGGAUACUGCAGUUCAAGCCAAAGCAGUCCCCCGGCUCUCCUCAGACACUUCUCUAUCUUUUGCUGAUAUUAUAUUUCCUAUUUGGAUGUAUGUAUUGAGUGGAAACAAAAACUCAUGCUCAGAUCAACAGCAACUGAAGUCAACCUUGGCUUUGUCCAUCCAAGUCAUGAAAAUCUUCAGGGAUGGAGAUACCUCAACCCCCCUGGCUACCAAGCUGUUUGAUUACCUCCACCCUUGUGAGUGUCCUUCCAAGAACUGCUAGACACUGCUAAGUUUGCCCUUGCUGCCCAUUCCUUUAUUGGAGAUCGAACCUUCCGCUGGACCCUUCUCAGACUCCUGAAUUUGGCACCGUUACUUCACGUCUGACCUUAGCACAAUGCUGAGUAGAAAGGAGACGUUAUUUCUGCUGAUUUCCUGGUGAUGAAUCUCCUCAGCUUGCUUCCUUAGUUAUUCCUUGUGAUAAGACUCUUAACUGAUUUGUGGAGGUGGCAAAUGAUGGGUGCUACCAUGUGACAAUCAACAUCACUUUGACAUUUGAAAGCACCUUCCUCCAGAGCUGCUUGCCUCCGGAAGAGCGUGCUCAGGAGUGGUUACUGGAGGAAGAUCUGGCCUAAUACCCCAGCUUGGUGUGGGAAAACUGGGGAACAACACCAUCGUGCCCUGUGAAAAACAGGAUGCAGAUGGGCAUCCCUCCUUUCUCUUAUCUGCUGGCAAGGCCCGGAAGAUGAUAACAAAGGAAUUUCUGCUGAGAUCCCAGAGCCAGUAGCUGCCACUCCAAGGAGAGCUGACUCAACCACUUCGGAUUUGAGCUGUCACUCAAAAGAGAGCUGACUGGACCACUUUGGACUUAUAAAUAAGUUUGUACUGCCAUCGUCGUUGUCGUCAUCGCUGUGGUUACCAUCGUCAACAGAACACCCGACGACCCACCACUACUGAAGAUCAAUGACUGAACUAUGAACCACGUUGGACCAAGGUGUUGACUACCUCCCUCCUGCUUCCUAUACGGACUCCUUGCUUCUAUUUCCUAUCUUUUCUGUCAGCCUUCUCCCCGUCCCCAUCUCCCUGAACGACUAGGAUAAUAGUAAUAAACCGGUAGGAUCAGCAUUUGAACCGUUGUUUCUUAAUCUCAUGCCGGGUAUACACACAUCAAAGAACCUCCUCUCCCUCCGAUAAAUUGGAGAGAGACAGAGUUUCAGCCUAUGUGAACUGAAAGGUCCUGAUCUUGUUUUUAAGAAUAUUACAACAGACUGCAGAGGGCAUAUAAUGUGUGCAUUUUGCGAUAUAGUAAGUAUUAGCAAUAAUUGGCAACUCACAGGAUCACAGAAUCACAGAAUGGCCUGGGUUGGAAGGGACCUCAAGGAUCAUGAAUCUCCAACCCCCCUGCCUGGCAGGGCCACCAAGCUCCCCAUUUACUAGACCAGGUUGCCUAGGGCCCCAUCCAACCUGGCCUUGAACACCUCCAGGGACGGGGCAUCCACAACCUCUCUGGGCAGCCCGUUCCAGCACCUCACCACUCUUCUGGUAAAGAACUUCCCCCUAACAUCCAACCUAAAUCUUCCCUCUUUCAACUUAAAACUGUUCCCCCUUGUCCUGCUGUUAUCUACCCUUUCAAAGAGUUUACUCCCUUCUUGUUUAUAGGCUACUUUCAGGUACUGAAAGGCUGCAAUGACGUCACCCCGCUGCCUUCUCUUCUCCAGGCUGAAUAAGCCCAGCUUCCUAAGCCUGUCUUCGUAGGGGAGGUGCUCCAGCCCCCUGAUCAUCUUCAUGGCACUUCUCUGGACCCUCUCCAACAGCUCCCUGUCUUUCUUGUACUGGGGACUCCAUACCUGGACACAGUACUCCAGAUGGGGCCUCACAAGAGGAGAGUAGAGAUGGACAAUCACCUCCCUGUCCCUGCUGGCCCCCCCUCUCAUGAUGGAGCCCAGGAUACCAUUUGCUUUCCGAGCUGCAAGAGCACACUGCUGGCUUAUGUUAAGUUUGUCAUCCAUCAGGACCCCCAGGUCCUUCUCUGCAGAGCUGCUCUCAAGGACUGCUCCUUCCAGUCUGUAUAGACUCUCUAUUCUAGAUAGGUUCUCAAUACUAGAAAAUAAGCUUUCAAAAAUGCACCUAUGCUUUUAUUUGUAAUGUUAGUUUCCUAAAUAAAUAUUUUUUUAAAAAAUAAUUAAAAUGCAUUCAUAUGCCCCAAAACAUACAUUUCAAGUAGUGUAAUGCAUCACACUUCCUCUUAGACAAAAUCAAAACAAUACUAGAUAUUUUUUUUUAACUUUGAUGACCCUGAUCAUAAUGGUUCAGCAACACGUCAGAAAACCUUUAUUUUUCUUUAAUUGGUCAUUUAAAUUUAAAAAAUAUAUCUAGACAUAUCAGAUAAAUAUUUCAGAAAAAAGCA
ensembl:lncRNA